CUUGACCAAAACAGUUUAAAAAACAGCUGAUACUGUUAAUGGGUGUGCCACUGUUGUAAGUGGAAUUUUGAGAAUGUAGUAAACAUAAAUUAAUUAAGUUUGUAACUAAAAGCAACGAUAAACUAUUGCUAACGAAAUACGAGUCUGAGGGAAAGUGGUGCUUAAACUAUAUUUGAAUAGUGUAUCAGAAUUUAAAAUUCAAAAUCAACACAAACCUCAAAAACGUGUACCCAUAUAACUAAAUACUUUCCGACCCCUACAAAUACUAUCAUGAAUGUUCAUGAAUAUUCUAUCUGACUAUCCCAAAUCCCAAUAACCGGGGAACAUCCAAAAACCCAAAAUACGAUGUGUAGCAACUGAUAUACUCGAACUAUUUUAUUUUGUGCAUCACUAUUGAGGGAAAAUUAAGAUUUCCGUAAAAAUUUGAUAU